UCGACUUUGUUGAAAGAAGUCCAAGAAAAAUACGGUUUACAUCAUGAAGUUCCUCGCUGUGUUCAUGGUAAUUGCUAUGGCGAUGGUGGCUGUCAGCGGACAGUGUAGGGACAGGCGACAACCGUGUCAAACCGAUAACGAUUGUUGCAACUUCGCUUGUCGCGGGCGUAGUAAGAUCUGCGCAUAAUGAGGAACCGAACCGGAUUGAUAUUGCGUCACCCUUCAAUGAAAAUCGUCUUCUGGGCCAUCUCGAUUUAUAUGAAAUACCUACGAAUAUCAGUUCUAAAAUAUGAAAUAACACAUAACUCUUCUGUAUGGAUUCCCAAUAAAUGCACGCGAUGAAAUGUA